rnacentral:lncRNA from 1 species
GUAGGUGUUGAUGUAUCUAAGUUGUGAGGCGAUUUCAAAAGAGAGAGUGAGGUGAAGGAAUUCCUAUUGCAAGAAAUUAGAGUGAUCAUGUUAUAGGGACGUGGAGAUGAUAUGGUAGCAACAAGAACAGGACAUGGCUUAGAAGUUGAUGACUAUGGCAAAUUGGCUAUGAUUUGCCAUAUUCUUAUAAGGUUAUAGUUGAUUUCUAGUAAUAGUUAGACAAUGAGUUUAAAAGGAUUCUUAUAUAUAUUAUUGGUGUGAUUAUAAGUAAUGGUGGUAUUAUAAUCAAUGUUUAUUUUAUUUACUAUG